CAGCAGCCGCGGGAAUACGUAGGGUGCAAGCGUUAAUCGGAAUUACUGGGCGUAAAGCGUGCGCAGGCGGUUAUAUAAGACAGAUGUGAAAUCACCGGGCUAAACCUGGGAACUGCAUUUGUGACUGUAUAGCUAGAGUACGGCAGAGGGGGAUGGAAUUCCGCGUGUAGCAGUGAAAUGCGUAGAUAUGCGGAGGAACGCCGAUGGCGAAGGCAAUCCCCUGGGCCUGUACUGACGCUCAUGCACGAAAGCGUGGGGAGCAAACAGGAUUAGAUACCCGCGUAGUCCCUGUCUCUUAUAC
rnacentral:rRNA from 1 species